rnacentral:rRNA from 1 species
UAAAUUGAGAGUUUGAUCCUGGCUCAGGACGAACGCUGGCGGCGUGCCUAACACAUGCAAGUCGAGCGAUGAUUCGCCUCUUCGGAGGCGUUAAUUAGCGGCGGACGGGUGAGUAACACGUGGGUAACCUGCCUCAAAGAGGGGAAUAGCCUCCCGAAAGGGAGAUUAAUACCGCAUAAUAUGUUUUGAUCGCAUGAUCGAAA